AGGACAAAUUGAAGAAUUUCAGCCCCGGUCUGUUGUCCAACGCCGACCAGAACCACCCACACCUCCACCCGCAGAGACAGAUGAACUGAGCCGAAAACUGACAGCAGAGCGGAUGGAGUUGCAUAAAUACAUUACCUCUCUGUUCACGAUCCCUCCCGCUGAGGAUGCUGGGAAAGCGAACAGCCCUGCAGAACCCUGUUUAAGCAUCAUAGAGUUAGAUGAGAAGAUGGUUGGAGAUGCUACAUUUUACAGAUCCUUUGGAGUCAAGCAGAGAAACGAGAGCAAAAUGUAAGAAACUCAAGAUCAAGGCAAACAUGAGAUGCUUUGAAAGAAAGCGACAGAAAAGUUCACAGUAGGAGUGUCGUGUUGAAGCAACAAUAUUAUUGAAGUUGCUGUGUUUUUCUUAUUUCAGAACUGACACAAAUACAGUGUCAUGUUGACAUUUACAUUUAUAUCAGCCACAACUAGACUUGAAAUAAAACUGUGGGAGUAAGUUAUUAGAUGUUAUAUAUGCAUGUCUGUUUUUCUUCUUUAAGUUUUGCAUCUGUAGGAAAUGAAGAUUUAUCUGAAGGAGGAGAUUUUGAAUAUUCGGUCUUGCCUUCCACACCGUAUUUCUCUGAGAUGACCAAAGGAUCCUUCAGUGAAUGUAAUUCUGACACAGAGAUCAGCUCUUUUUCUGAGAUGUGGCCCCAGUCUCAAGAGACCGACAAAUCUUCGCCAUCAUUGCCAAGAUCAGAAAGCUUGUCUCCACUUCAAACGAGGCUUCAGAAGUCACAGCACCUGUCGACUACCUCAGAGCCAUUUCUGUUGAAUUCACAAACAGGAAGCCAGAAAGUAGAACUCAGUGACUCUCCAAAACCGAGCCCACGGAUGAGAUCUUCCGCAGCACAAUGGGAUAAACCCUCAGCGCUUCUGCCAACAUCAUCUCCUUCACUCCUAACACCCAAAUUAAAACAAACUCUCCCAUGCUUUGAGGACCAUAUUUCCACUGUCACCCCCUCUCCUGGUAGAGUGCCAUCUGUUAGGGCUUCUCGAUGUCAUCCUCCUGCUUUUCUCAUCUCUAAACAAAGUCCUAAACCUCCAGAUUCUCCAUCCCCAGGGUCUAGAUCAGCUUCCUCUCCAGUCAACCCAAUCCAGUCCAUACCUACUCAUUCAACACCUGUUUCUGAACCAAAAUUAGCUCAACUGUCUUCAGAAUUUGCUAUCACUUCCCAAAGCACUGCAGUUCCUUCAUUAAAUCCGUCACCUAGAGAAUCAUCACAGUCUGCAUUGGUCUCGGAUAGAAGUACGUCUAAGCCUAUCUAUGACUCCAUCAGGUCCUCUACGCCGAGAGUUGAAUCCUCUCAUACUUACAGGCACCGUUCACCUCCGGCCUCUAAAUGGUUAAAGGCACCACGAAAGUCACCCAAAGCUACAGUGCUGUCCUUACAGCUGAGCAUGUCAGAUUCAGAAGAAGAAAUGACAGGUGAAGAUGCUUGCCUGGUGCCCAGUGAGGAAGACUCAUCUGAUGAAGAACUGAGGCGAAUCACAGAUGCAGAAGAGCAAAAGAAUGGAUUUCCCUCUCCGUGUCCGACCACAAUGCCUCUGGCAGACCCUCAUUUCACUUGCACACACCUCACAAAGUCAGAACAUGACAACACAGAACCGGACCUGUUUACAGGAUCUUCCCAGGCUGUUCAUUCUGUAGCCCAGCGACAGGACAUCCAGUCGGGGCAGUACCAAGACCUAGAGGGGAUCCUGACUUUGGGAGUGGACCCUGGAGUCCUGCAGCCUAGCCCAGCUCCAGCUCAAACCUUUAUAGAAGAGCAGAGCCACACAGGAAGUUUGCUAGUUGUAGGGCAGGAGUCCUGGAUCUCCAGCAGCAGUCUUCAGCAUCACGCAGAGGAAGAGCUGGUCGCUGCGCUGAUGAACGCUCGGCCCGUCAGUAGCACUCCUCGUACAUUCACACCAUGCCGUGGAAGAACAUCAUCACAGAGGCUGUGUUUCAAAGGCAACAUAAGCAGAUGUUCUCCCCUCUCUACUUAUCGUCCAGACCCAUCAAACCGGCCGCUGUCUCGUGCCGCUCAGGAGAUCAUGGAGGUCCAGUCGGUGGAGCAGCUCGACCUCCAGGACUCUGAUGAGGAUGAGGAGGAUGUCCUGGCUCUGGCCUGCCUUGAGGAAGAAUUCAGAAAUAUGAGCACUACACAGUUAGAUGAGGGAUGAAGAGGAGGAGAUCUUCAUCAAGAAUGAUAUGAGGCGUCUGAUGACCUGAGACUGAUUUCCAGGCCCUGAUUACAGCACUCUCACCAUGCUCCUGAUAUCCGGCCAAUCAAAGUCCAGACCCUGCAGUCCCCCAAUGCUUUCCUAUGUUGUUAUAGUUUUGGUUGUAAAUUGCAACAAUAUUCAGUUUGUUUUCAUGGAAACUGUUUUGAAAGAUUUGCUUUUGUUACUGGUAAAGUAUCCGCUAAAUGACAAGAAUGCAAUUGCCUUUUUAGCUUUUCUAAUUAGCUGCUUAUAGCUUGACAGGGUUCAUGAGGGUUCUGGAGGAAGGGAAGAUGAAAGCACUGAAGACUGCAUGAAGCGGCAGCAUGCAAAUGAAGGCAUGGGAAGCAGAGGGAUUUCCCCUACAGAGAGAAAGAGAAUCCACACGUGGUCACUGAGCGCAGACAGGAAACCUCCCACAGGACAUCCUCAUUUUAAGGGACAUCAGGCGAGCAGAACAGAGUCAGUACUGUGCAGAUAGGUCUUGAAUUCAGUAGGGCGAUAUUUUUAAUGGCUAUAUUUAAUAUAAAAUGUCUUUAAAAUCAAAUGUGUUAAUAUUUUGUCUAUUUAUUAUAUUAUUCAAGCCAGGGCUUCCCAAAUAUAUUUUGUCACCUGAGCCAAUUAGACAUACAAUAUUUACUGAAAAUUCCCACCGGGGUUUUAAAAUAUGAAUAUUUUACAACACUGUUGCAUGUUCAUGGUUCUCUGAUGGUCAAAUUGACAAAAAUAUUUAUGUAAAAUAUAAUGUUACCAAUCUAGCCUCUGCUAGCCUUCAAAAACUUGUGGAUCUCACUUCCCUGUCAAUUUCAACAAUUCAUUUAUUUUUAGUUUGGGAACCCUGCUGAUGUUCUCUGAAGCACUUAUGAUAAUAUAAAAAUAUCAGAAAUACACGACAAUCACAACAAUAACAGAUCUGGAGGUUCAAAAUGAUUAGACGUUUCUUUAUCUCCCAUCCUGAUGCCUUCAUAACCGGAGAAAGUGAGAAUUAACUCGGUCAUCGUUCUCCCAGGACAGCUAGUUCCUGCAGCCAUGGACCCUUGCUCUCUGAAAACAAUGCCUUUUAUAGUUCUCACCCUUCACUGGGUCUGUUUUCUCAGAGCAGACACAAGAGAUGCGGCCCGUGACCCGCUUCAUUGAUUCCUAUCAGAGACGGGCUUGCAGAGGCAGCGUAUGAAAGUGCCCGUUGUGACGGAUACAAGCUAUUACAUUUUUAAAACACACUGUUGUCUUUUUUACCACACUCUCACUUUUCACUCUCAAUGCACUGUGGGAAAUAGCUGCUGGGGUUUUAACACUCAUACUCAUGUGUUCCUGUGGCUCAGUGGUAGAGUAUUGUGUUAGCAGUACAUAAGGUUGUAGGUUCAAUUCCCAGGUAACACACAUACUGAUCAAAAAAUAAAAAUGUGUAUAGCCUGAAUGCACUGCAAGUUGCUUGGAAUAAAAGUGUCUGCCAAAUGUAAAUGCAAGAUUUUGCCUAGAGGACACACACCCCAUAGAAUAUUUUUACUCCACAUUUUUUGUCCUGCCUUAUACCUCCAAUAUAUACUUAUACAAAAUACGGUUGGAGUAUUUGGACUCUGAUGGACUUGUACUUGAACUAGACAAGGAUUCUGACAUUUUGGACUCAAAUACAGUCAAACCAAUGUCUUGUGUAACAUGAAAGAUAAAAGUAACUAGAUAAAACUUAAAUAAGGCAUUAAUAAAUGUCUCCCACUCCAACUCAGUUGGUUUAACAUGCUAAAUGCCCAUAAAUAAUCAAAAUAUAACACAGUCCUGCAUCUUGUGGAAAAAGGCCAUAUAUUAACUAAUUUGAUGAUGCUGAGUUAUAAGCAUAAUAACUAAAAAUAUCAAUAAAAGCUUUUCAACACAAAAUAAGAUUUUUCUUUUUCCAAUGAUGUAUCAGCUUUAAAGGGGUCAUGAUGCGAUUUCGUUUUUUCUUUUCUCUUUGGAGUGUUACAAGCUCUUGGUGCAUGAAGAAGAUCUGUACAGUUGCAAAGACUAGUCUCAAUCCAAAGAGAUAUUCUUUAUCAAAGUUAAGACUCCAAGAGCCCCAUAAAAUGACUCGUUCAAACACACCCCCACAUAUUUAUGUCACUAUGUGGAAAUAUUUGUGUAAUGCCACCCAAAUGUUCACGCAAAGAAAGAAGUUGUGGUUUCAGUAACACAGUUAGUAUUGAAGCAGUCAUGUCAGGGAGAUGCUGUGUGUUUCUAGGUGAAAGCAAAAGCAUUUUAUUUGGCUGUUUCUUGAACCUAGGAGAGGAUGUAAUUCUGAAUUUGGUGCAACAAUCUGGUGCUUCUGAAUCAGCUACUGCACUGGGUCAGCUGGCCAAUCAGAGCAGACUGUGCUUGUCAGAAGGAGGGACUUUGAAGAAAACAAUGUGUUUGAGAGAGGCAGGGCAUAGAGGACCUUCAAUAAUGUACAGCAUUUGAAAAAUAUAGAUUUUUUUUUUACAUUAAAGCAUGUCAACAUAUUCUGUUACACCAAAUACGCAAAAUAAUGAUAUUUUAAAAAAGCAUCAUAUGACCCCUUUAAUGCACUUAUCAAAAUAACAGUCAAAAAUAAGUAUUCAGUUCAACUUACAAUCUGCAAAGUAUUUAAUGUCAAAUAACUUUGCAAAAUAAGCACUGUCACUGUCACUGGCCAUAAUUCUAACCUUAGAAUAGUUCCAACCUGGCUCAGAGUGAGACAGGAAUCAGUUUUAUACUGAUUAUGGGAUAAUACAAGACUUCUUCUUAGAAAUGGUUAUGGAUUUUUAGAUACAAGUAUUGGAUUUUAU
ensembl:lncRNA